rnacentral:rRNA from 1 species
AUGUACUUGUGCCCACCACAAAGCAUGAUUAUGCCACCAUUGAUUUCUGGGGAGCUCCAGCCAACACCGAUGAUAAACCAGUUCAACUGGUGUGAGUAUGUGCUCGAAUGUCUACUUGCGGGUGUAAGGAGGCUUAAGAAUGACAUCCUUUCAAACAACCCUGCCACGAGCCUCUUUGGAUGUCACUUGUUUCUCCAGAUUUUCCUGCUCGACAACCUCGACCUGGGGAUGUUUAACAAGCCACAUACCGUGCUGCCGAGGGUUAGUGUUUUUUACCAGGACUCACUCUGCGGGAUGACAAACAUGCUACUGAUGUUGGCAAAGGCGGCUAUUUCUUAUGCUUCCGCACCGUUACACCACCUGUCAACUGUUUGCUAUGCCCGUUUCAAGCACUCUGCCGCCUAG